rnacentral:lncRNA from 1 species
GCUGAGGGAGCUGGGCUUGUCCAGCCUGGAGAAGGGAAGGCUGCGGGGUAACCUCAUUGCAGCCUUCCCAUACCUAAAGGGAGACUACAAACAGGGGGGAAGUCAACUCUUUUCAAGGGUAGAUGAUGACAGGACUAGGGGAAACUGUUUUAAGUUGUGAGGGAGGGAAGAUUAAAGUUGGAUACGGGGGAAAUUCUUUACAGAGGGAGUGAUGCGGUGCUGGAACAGCUGCCCAGAGAGGCUGUGGAUGCCCCGUCCAUACCUGGAGGUGUUCAGGGCCAGGCUGGAUGGGGCCCUGGGCAGCCUGGUCUGAUUUCAUAUCAGCUCAGUCCGUGCUGUGAAUACCACAGAAUCAACAGUGGAUCCCUUCUGAGUCACCCUUGGGUGGCUGCCCCAGAGACUGAGUCAGAGCAGCCUUAAACAGGUGCCCCACUGACCUGUUCUCCUCUCUCCUGUGUGAUUCUCUCCCCGUACAAAAUGGCAAGAAGCAAUGCGUCCAGAUGAUAAACUCUCCAUAGAAUCAACCACACUGAGUUGGCGUUUUCCUGUGCUUACUGCACAUGCAGAGGGUAAAUAUUGUGGUUAUUUGGGAGGGCUGCUUAAAAGUGAGUGAGUUUUGCUGAUCUCUCCCUGACUCUCUGGCUGACGGAUCAACUGAUGAAUGGGAGCGAGGAAUCCCUGCUGGUGCGGUGCUGCUGUCUGUGCAGCGUUUCUGUAGCACCGCUUUUGGUGGUCGAUCCUAAUCCAGGAUUGGGUUUUUUCUGCCACUUCUUCAUGGAUUUCCUACCGUCCUUUGCUUGGGCAGGCAGACGUUUGCCUUGAAUAGCUGAGAGUUUUGAUGGUCCAGGUGAGGAGCAGGGUUCAUCACCUUGGGUCAGCUUAAUCAGCCCCUUCAGUAGACUCUUCUGAUCACCCUGAUCUCCAUCAGGGGUUGCUGAUCGCACCACGGGUGCAUCCCAGUUAAUCAGUAGAGACAGUUCCUCCACCACACCGUCCUGCUGCUUCUCCAUUUUAGCCAGUCUUUCUAGAUAUCUAGAUAUCCAGGCUUUUCUCAGUGCUCUGCCCUGUUAGAGAGCUCUCUCACAUUGUGUGCCAUCAAAACAAAACGACUCAAUUCUGUUCUACAUGCACCUUACAUACCAUCCACUUACAAUCAAAAGCCAACAAAAGUUCCUCUAAUAGGCAGCUGGCCGUACCUUCUCCCACCUGCACAGAUAAAGGAUGAAAGGUUUCUCAGUCGUGACAGGACUGACAGUGCACCCCAAAGCACCUCCUGUUUGUCCUUUGGCGCCGUCUGUCCUUUGUCUUACACUGCAGACUCCCAGGGCUUCACAGUGAUGAGGGCUAUCAAGGAGUCUGUUAAGCUCUUUGGUGACUCUCCCACAGUUACAUCUUCCAUCUCCCCCUUCUUUCUUAAUAAAAAAGGCACGAUUCAUUGCAUCCUGUAUCCUUUUUUGUGUACUCUGCUACAAGCAUGGAACAGUAAUUAAAGCACAGAGGAAAGCAAUGAGACAAACUGACCCUAUUAGAUGCAAAUUCGGUAUCUGUUCUGAAAAACCCCCAAAGAGAACCCCGAAUAGUUUCACAAGUUUCCCUAUUUGGCUUUCCAUACUCCCUUACUACUUUCCCC